UUCCUUUUCCAUGGCCGCUGGGUCCUUGCCAGAUGGGCAAAGCUAUGAUGGUAGAUCGAGGUCCAGAAGGCUCUCCGGCCAUCUGGAAAGCUCGGGAAGGGAACGGAACCGCUUCGUCUUCAAGUUUAGUAAAACUCCGGCUGGAAAUCAAUAAUGUUUCCAACUGUAGAUUUCGGCUGUUUUAAAUGUGGCGUACAGGGGGUGAGAGUUCCCCGGUUCGACUAACAGAGGUUUUGGAAGUUUUCGGGGCGUGGUUUGGAAAUCUAUGUGCUCUUUUGCAAAAACUGGGGGUGUCCCGGCGGGGCAUCGUGUUCUUUGGUUUUGUUAUUUUGUUAUUUUUAUUUACUCUACUAGAUAUAGACUAGUUAGUAACCAAUUACCCAUGCAUCGCUACGGGAUAUAAAUAUUCUAGUACGUUGGUCUGUGAUUUAUUUGUCCAUAUUAAUAUGAUUAUAUUUGUCCAUAUUAAUAUGAUUAUAUAAAUAAAUGCUUAUCAAAUCCUGUUCAUAUUAAUGUGAUUGUAUAGAUAAAUGUUUAUCAAAAUCCGUCCAUGGUUUACCCAUCUAAAUAAAUUUUAGGGUUUUAUUUGGUAUAAUUGCUUAUUUGGUAAAAACUUAUUGGCCUGUGAUUUACUUGUUCAUAUUAAUGUGAUUUUUUUGUGAGGCAUAUUAAUGUGAUUGUGUAUAUAAAUAUUUAUAAAAUCAUGCCCAUGAUUUACUUGCUUAAAUAAGAGUCACUUAUGGGCUUAUCAAAGAAAAAUAAAUUUUAUUUGGCAACUCAAUAAAAGAUGGGAUAAUUAAGACUGUUUUCAAGGAAAAGUGGUGAAACAAUUAGAGAUAUUGGGGAUAAAAAUCAAAACGGAGAGAGGAGAGAGGAACGCAUGUAAGGUUGGAUGAAGCACUUCUGACAUUAAAGAAUACAUACUCCUGUUUUUUUUUGAUGUAAUACUCCUGUUCUUUUAUUAAGCAGUGGAGGUAGAGACAGAGUAUAGAUAUAGAGAUACAUAGAUAGAGAUAUAAAGAUACAUAGAUAGAGAGCUGUAGAGAUAGAGGAUAUGCUAGAUAGCUUAUUUAUUUAUUUAUUUAUUUUGCGAAAAGACUAGACUAGAUAGAUGGUGGUGCGUAUAGGGGGAACCGGGGAAAGCUCACUGCUAGCUUGUUUUACCCUUUUGAAGGGCGUAUAUGCUUCGGUCAAGUGGAAAGGGCAAUAGCCAAUGGACGAAGAAAGUGAAACAAAACCCGCUUGCAAAGAUGAAGAAUCUUUGUGAAUCAAUGGUUGGAUGGUUAGAUGAACAAUGGUAUCCUCAGCCCACCGGGGUAAGUCUCGGUGCUUGCAUUUAUUCUUGAAUUUAUUUCAGGAUUUUCGGCGAUGCGAAUUCAGUGAGAGAUGUUCCCCUCGACUGCGAGACGUCUUUGAUGACUUCGUAGGGUGUGUGUGUAUUCAUAGGGAUGAGUGUAUGCGCGUAUAUAUGAGCACCUGUGUAUGUCCGUGUUCAAGCAAAGAGAUGAAGAACCUUGUAUCCAGGAUAGGAUUUUUGAAUUCAUGAUUAUGAAUUCCAUAA